GGAUCAGAGGGAGGCUCGGACUGCUCUUGGCCGGAGCCGGCGCCAGGCGGGGGUGGUGCGAUGAGCGGUUGGAUGGCGCGGGGCCGAGCGCAGCGGGCUGCGGCCCUGGGCCUAGCACUGCGGGUACUGCUCAGCUUCGGGCUGGGCCUGGAAGCCGCCCCGACCUCGAUCCCGACCUGGUCCUUGACCCAGGCCCCAGGCCCCAGCACAGCCUCGUGCCCGCCCACCAACUUCCAGUGCAGGAGUGAUGGCCGCUGCGUGCCCCUCACCUGGCGCUGCGACGUUGACCAGGACUGCGUCGAUGGCAGUGAUGAGGAGGAGUGCAGUAUUGAGCCGUGUGCCCAGGACGGGCAGUGCACGCCACCCACUGGCAGCCCCUGCUCUUGUGACAGCAUCGAUGACUGCCCUGAUGGCAUCAACAAGAAUGUUCUCAACUGCGGGCACCAGCCCUGCCCGGAGGGGGAGCUGCGCUGCCCGCUGGGCGGUUCCUGUAUCCCACGCACGUGGCUCUGCGAUGGCCACCCGGACUGUUCCGACUCCAGCGAUGAGCUUGGCUGUGGAACCAAGACCCUCCAAGAAGGGAGUGCCACGUCCAUGGGGACCCCUGUGACCCUGGAGAGUGUCACUUAUCUCAGGAAUGCCACAGUCACCUCUGUUGGGGACCGGGACUCAGUUCAGUCUGGAAACCGAAGUGCCUAUGGGAUCAUUGUAGCCGCUGUGGUGCUAAGUGUAGGUCUGGCCGCCGCCAUCCUCUUCGUGUUGUCACGGCUCUGUGCCCAGGGAUGCCUGUCCCCGCUGGGGCUGCUGGUGUCUGUGAAGGGGUCUCUGCAGUCAGAGAGGACGGCCUCAGUUCUCUGAGGGUGAUUUCUUGCUGCCACAUCACAUGGUCCCGAGUAUGGCAGGUAUGGGGACCCGCGCGGGGCUGCUGGCACACCAGCCCCCAGACCUGGGUUCUUCUGGCCACGCGGCGCCAAGUACCUGAGCUCCUGCAGAUGUGACCCUGGAGGCUGGGAGUGCCCAGACCCUCCCCUGGACUCGAGGAGCCUGGAUGGGGAACGUGCCACAGCCAGAACCGAGGGGCUGGCCCUAGGUCAUUCCCAGGGUGGCCCCGCUGCUCAGAUACUACUGUUGCCCCCUCCUGAGAAAUAAUUCUUCUAGAUGGAUGUGUAUGCCUGAACAAUACAUCAUCUUGUUUGAGUUGCUUUUGAACUUCAUAGAACGGUCAACAUUUUGACAUGAUGGGAGGUCCUGGGGACCUUGAGGACGGGGAUCUGCCAGGCUUGAGCAGGGGCUGCAGGAACAGGUGUGAGUCUCCCCUUCGCCCUUCUGCUUGGACCUGUGUGACUUCGGGCAAAGGACUCCACCUGUCUGAGCCCAGCACCUGCUCAUCUGUACGCAAGGUCUGUGAGUAGCUGACCAAGGGCUGCCCGGGGGUGGAAGGAGGUAGCUUGGCUGAGGCUCUGGCUGGGAGUCGGGGACUCACCCAAGGGGGUCCCCAUGCGCUGCUCGCUGUCCGGGUCCCCUGGGGGUGGGCACGUGUCUUGCGGUGGCAGUGAGUGACCCACUGGUGAGGUAUGUAAGUCCUGGCUGCCCUGGGGCCUCUGGGGAUAGAUGAGGAGCUAUGACAGGGACACAAGCUCUCAGGCAGAGGAGUUGGCUCCGGUCAAGUUUUAUUGGACCCCCUUUCAGCCUGGGGCUCUUCACAGUGGCCAGGCUGCCUGCACCCCUCUGCCCCGGCCGCAGCUCCGUCCAUGUGCCUGAGGGAAGGAGGGAGGGUGGGCAGAAGGGACGGGCUGGAGACAGGUCAUCAGCCCCUGGGGUGGGGCCCUCCCUGUCUCCACAGAAUCAGCCCAAGGGUCCCCAGUCCAGCCACCCCACGAAUCCGAGCUGCCGGGCGCUGGGGCAGCCCCUUGUGGUCAGUCCUCGGCCGGCUACGUGGCUGGUGUGUGCCCGUUGGCCAUCCGCCUGGCCGCCCGGCUCCGAGGGCCAUCAGCGGGGGCUGCUCCGGGCCGGUGAGCUGCCCUGUUCUUCGGCUGCGGGUACUCCGGGGCUGCCUCCCCAUCACUGGAGUCUGACUCUUCCACGUCGCUGCGAACAUCCUUCUCCAUCUGGGGAACAGGGAGGAGGGAGGAGGGAGGAGGCGUGGGGCUGGGCUGGGGGCUCCAGGGAGGCACAAGCUAGCCAACCCCUGCCCGGCCCUACCUGGCCUUUCUUUUUUA